AUUGAACGCUGGCGGCAUGCCUAACACAUGCAAGUCGAACGAGCGGCGGACGGGCGAGUAAUGUAUGGGACGCUGCCCGAUAGCGGGGGAUAACUACUGGAAACGGUGGCUAAUACCGCAUACUAUGGGAUGCACCCAUAUGGGAUUAGAUAGUAGGUGGGGUAAAGGCUCACCAAGGCGACGAUCUCUAGCUGGUCUGAGAGGAUGAUCAGCCACACUGGGACUGAGACACGGCCCAGACUCCUACGUGAGGCAGCAGUGGGGAAUAUUGCACAAUGGGCGAAAGCCUGAUGCAGCCAUGCCGCGUGUAUGAAGAAGGCCUUAGGGUUGUAAAGUACUUUCGGCGGGGAGGCGUUACCCGCAGAAUAAGCACCGGCUAACUCCGUGCCAGCCGCCGCGGUAAUUC
rnacentral:rRNA from 1 species